GUGAGCGGCGGCUGUUGAUCAGGUCCGGUCCCUGCUUCUUGGUGCGCCUGCCUUCCAGGCAUCCCCACGGGACAGCAGUCUACCCCCAAUCUCACAGACCUCAGGGGAAGGAGUGCCCAGACUCCUGCUUACUAAUGCAUUCCAUCGUCAACCCCUCAGAGCCAGGAAGUCCUCCUGUGUGUCUACACUUAAUCCCCCUCACCAGAUCUGAAGCUUAUUUUCUUUCGCUCUUUCUUUAGGGGGAAAAGACUGAGAUUCUGCUCAGGCAAGACAUUUGACUUGCGCAGCAAGCGGCUCUAUGUUGCAAUCUCCCUGUGAAAUCACUUCGCAAGGAGAUCCAGGAGGGGGAAGUGAGAGGGGCUGAGGAACGAGGGGUAACAUCCCCGGCUUUGUCCUUUAACGGCUUUUGGAAGGGACGACAUCGCUCAAAGGCAGACAGACAUCCCUAAUGAACUCCCAAGAAUGCAGUCCUUCUCAGAAGAGCAAUCGGAUAGCCUGCCAGGACUAAGCUACCCAGGUUUGGUUCAGGGCUGAAGCUGUUUGCCGGUCAUGGAGAGUAAAUGCUCACAAAUCAUCUGGGAGGUACGGACAAGAGAAGCAAGGUCCAGGGAAGCUGACUUGCCUAAUACUUGGGAGAAAGGUGACCUGGUGUUGUUGAGGAUGGACCCCUGGCACCCGGCUUGGUUUUCCUGAGUGAGGCCUUCUGUUGUCACAGGCUUGUACAUGGCUGCAGGUUUGCAAGACUUCACAUCGAGGAGUCCUUGAUCCAUUCAGAAACAAAGAGAAACUGUUUUGUGAGUUAUUAAAAAAAAUUUCCCUUGGAAAGUAAGAAUUCCACAAAGGUAGUUAGCAGACAGUCCUCAGAAUUUGCAGAGAGAUACCAAUUGUCCCAAUAAUUCCAGAGCAGGGUGUGGCAGAGAACUAGAUGCCAGCCUGCUGCCCCUCCCUGCCCCACCCCUCCCUGAGGGCAACCAGAGGGGCUCCCAUCAGCCUGGCCUCCGCUGGCUGGGAUGCUGCAGGGACCGGCUUCUCAGGAGCCACAAUUACCAACUGCCUGUGGAGUGAGGGUUUGAUCUCCGACAGCAGAUAAUAAAUUGUUCCCAUGCACUAAACCAAUUCCCCUGAGCACUGGAAACGUGAUAAUUCCACCCUCUCUCUGCCGUCACUAACUCACACCAAGAA